rnacentral:rRNA from 1 species
AGUCUACUGGAGGUAGAGCUACUGAUUGGAUGCGGGGGCUUCACCGCCUACCAAAUCCUGACAAACUCCGAAUGCCAGUAGUAUGAUUUACAGCAGUGAGUGACUGGGUGCUAAUGUCCAGUCGCAAAAGAGGAACAACUCAGACCAGCAACUAAGGUCCCGAAGAAUAUGCUAAGUUGAUCUAACGAUGUUUUGUUGCAGAGACAGCUAGGAUGUUAGCUUGGAAGCAGCUAUUCAUUCAAAGAGUGCGUAACAGCUCACUAGUCGAGCGACAGAGCGUGGAUAAUAAACGGGCAUCAAGCAUAUCACCGAAGUUCUGGGCGCGAGAGCGCGGUAGGGGAGCAUUCCAUUCAGCGUCGAAGCAGUUUCGUGAGGAAUUGUGGAGCGUAUGGAAAAGCAAAUGUAGGCAUGAGUAACGAUAAUGCGGGAGAGUAACCCGCACACCGCAAGACCAAGGUUUCCUGAUCAACGCUAAUCGGAUCAGGGUUAGUCGGGUCCUAAGGGUAAGCCGAACGGCGAUCUCGAUGGAUAAUCGGUUAAUAUUCCGAUACUAACAUAUACCUCGAUGGAGAGACGAAGGAACGUAAGUGCCGCCACCUGACGGAAUAGGUGGUUAAAGGGCGUAGAUAUAGGGGCAGAUUAAGAGUUAGUCCUUGCUGAAACCUGACAGUACAGAGAGCCUACGGGCAAUUUGAUAGAGCACCCAAGUCGACUUCCGAGAAAAUCUUCUAAGUUAUAGUAUAUGUUACCCGUACCGUAAACCGACACAGGUGGUCGAGGAGAGUAUCCUAAGGUGCUCGAGUGAAUCACGGUUAAGGAACUAGGCAAAUUAACCCCGUAACUUCGGGAAAAGGGGUCCCUAUGAAAGUAGGGCGCAGCGAAGAGGUCCAGGCGACUGUUUAUCAAAAACACAGGGCUCUGCAAAUUCGAAAGAAGACGUAUAGGGCCUGACACCUGCCCGGUGCUGGAAGGUUAAGAGGGGAUGUCAUCGCAAGAGAAGCAUUGAAUCGAAGCCCCAGUAAACGGCGGCCGUAACUAUAACGGUCCUAAGGUAGCGAAAUUCCUUGUCGGGUAAGUUCCGACCUGCACGAAUGGUGUAACGAUCUGGACACUGUCUCAACCGUGAGCUCGGUGAAAUUGUAGUCCCGGUGAUGAUGCCGGGUACCCGCAACGGGACGAAAAGACCCCGUGAACCUUUACUAUAGCUUAACGCUGAAUUUGGGUACACAAUGUGUAGGAUAGGCCGGAGGCUUUGAAGCGGGCACGCCAGUGUUCGUGGAGCCGACGUUGAAAUACGGCCCUUUGUGUAUUUGAGUUCUAACCCUGCGAAGGGGACACCGUUUGGUGGGUAGUUUGACUGGGGUGGUCGCCUCCAAAAGCGUAACGGAGGCUUCCCAAGGUACCCUCAGCACGAAUGGUAACCGUGCGCGGAGUGCAAUAGCAUAAGGGUGCUUGACUGUGAGACAUACAAGUCGACCAGGUACGAAAGUAGGGUAUAGUGAUCCGGUGGUUCUGCGUGGACUGGCCAUCGCUCAAAGGAUAAAAGGUACUCCGGGGAUAACAGGCUGAUCGCCGCCAAGAGCUCAUAUCGACGCGGCGGUUUGGCACCUCGAUGUCGGCUCGUCACAUCCUGGGGCUGGAGAAGGUCCCAAGGGUUCGGCUGUUCGCCGAU